AAGGUAUUUCUUGAAUGAAUGAAGGACAAGAGGCUAACCACAGUUAGAAGGUGCUUAUGAAGAAGUGACCAACUGAGAUGCUGGUAGAACAUUCAGAGAAGUAGGGAAGUUCUGCCCAGCAGGAAAACAUCCAAGUCAGUUUACAAGGCACAUGAGAAGUGAGGAAGUGGAGGACAAUAAAGACAACUUUGAAUUUGGCCCAUCUAUUCGCAGAGGCAGCCGAAUGCAAGAAUAGAAGCCUAAAUUAAGGUGCUCAGUGAAGCAGUUGAAAGCUAGACAGAUGAUUAACAUCCUCACAGCUAGUGGAAUCCAUGAUGAAUUCUCAUCUCCAAGGGGCAACACUGCAGGACUUGGAGCAGAGGCGCCCCCAGUUGGAAGAACUCAUUACUGCUGCCCAGAAUUUGAAAAACAAGACCAGCAAUCAAGAGGCCAGGACCAUCAUUACUGAUCGAAGUAAGUCUUGCUUUUAACAGGCAUGUGAAACUUAGGGAAAGAUGUAUGAAAAGCUUCUAUGACGACUUAAGUUCAUACACCUCCAUUAUGUUUAUAAAAAUAUUGA
rnacentral:lncRNA from 1 species